GAAACUUAACCUGACUUGAAGACUGACCAGUCUGGAGUGCGUUGAGAAAACCAGAGUGCACUGAGAGAAACACAGAAACCUGAGGAUUCAUCAUCCCCAACUGCUCUGAUUGCCUUUUACUGGAUGAAGGUGUGUGAAAACAAGAGUCUUCUAUUAUAGAAGUGUGCCCUUGGCUACAGCAUUUUCCCGUGGUGGAAACAGGUCUUAUGUCUCAAUGCCAGCCCUAUGUCUUGGACUUCACAUGUGAAUUAAAACCUGAAUAAUACUGACACGAGAACUUAACACGUGGACUUUUCUCAACCUUCAUCCUCGUUGCUGUGACCAGCUGCUCAAUUGCUCUUCAAGGAAAUAGUGAUUAAUUGUGUCAGUGUGUGCAGUCGUCAGAAAGUAUAAACAAACAAUUGUUGCUAAGAGAGCUGAAAGGACACUGCUGAAUCAAUUCCGCAAGACAAAUGUGCUGAAGGACUAGUGCAGUUAAAGCAAGAUAAGUAAUUCAUUCACCACUUUCACCACUUUCUAUCAGCAGGCAAACAUUCAGACAUUUCCAGGAAAGCCAUACUUCAUCACACAUAAUAGUUACUCGGGUAAACAAGCACCAUAACUGUGAACAUCCUCCCCUUCGUCCUUCUUUUCCCUGGAUUUUAUGGCAGAGCACAAUGCCAUGUGAUAUGGAGUAUCUGUCCAAUGGGUUCAUCAGUCCUGACUGUGACCCCUCCCAGUUUCUUGUGCAUCCCCACGUUGCUGGCUGGUGGGACAGUGUGAGAAACGGAGGUCUUGGUGCUGUUCAGAUAUAGCUAAUAUGUCAGCGUGUUAUCAACACAGAUCCAAAACCAGCUGCUGUGAGGAAAAUUAACUCCAUCCCAUCUGAAACCACUACACUGCUGAGAAGUUUUUGUUUGCAUUUCCUUGCUAAUUCAGAAAGAUAAAAUCAUUUAUCAACUUGCAGUUAUUUCUGUGCAUGGGUAAUGUCUAAUCUGUUGCUUAAGGAUGUUUUAAUAACUAUGUGACAGCUGUUCAAAGUUAGUGAUAGCAGGGGAGGAAAAUGAUUAUGCGUUACCUCAAUUAUGUUGUAGUUUAGUAUGUUCUACAAAUGGUGAUAGAUGUAAAUAGCUGCUCUAUUAACUGCAAGGAGCAGUGACCCAGGCAAAGGGACAUAGGCUGAUGGCCCUUUGUGCUAUUUCUUAUUGGCAAAUGGCUCCUGUUCUGUUCAUCUUACUGUGUUUUCUAGACUCUCUUUUUAAAAGCUGCAGUUGAAUUUCAAAGGGCCUACAUUAGGAACAUAUUUCACAGACUACUUUCCCAAUUGGGAAAGUGCUUUCAAACACUGAUUCCACUAGAAAAAAUUUGGAGGAAUACAUUAUCAUGCUUCAAGCACUUAGACCCAUCUCCACAGUGAAAUGGUUGGCAUUAGCCUGGUGUAUCACCAGUUCUAAAAUAGUUUUCAGAAAGAAGACUGAAGUGAUUGGGCCAUCUGUGUAUCUAUGUGUUUUCUCUACCUCCCAGUCAUAUUUUUAAAGCAUCAGCAAAUUUCAGAUGAACUUGGCAAAGGGAUACAUAUCACCCAGAUAAUCAUAUUGCUUCAGGUUUUGUGAAAGUAGAAAGCUAAAUAGAGAAGAUGAUCUCAGAAUUGCCUCCCAAAAGAGAAGUCUGUGCUGAUUACUAUUAGACACCAAAGAAUCAACAUAAGAUAAGCUGUUAAUGCUCCCAUUGCAUGAAAAUGUUUUGAAAGAAAUAUUAAUGCUACUGUCUAAGAAGCUGAAAUCAAGUAUAUGAUAAAGCAUAUGUUCAUAAAGCCCACUUCCCGUUAUUUCAAAUAUUUCUAUAUUUUGUGUAUAAAUAGCAGAUAUAUCAAGGGACAGUUAUAUGAUUUAAUCAUCUCUGUCUUUAUUUCAAAAUGAUAUAGAGGCAGAAACGUGACUAUUUGCGGGUCCAAAUUUUGUCACUGGCACUGAGCAAAAAGUGGAAAAGCUGUCUAAUGAGUUUGAUUUCUGA